UUUCCGUAGGUGAACCUGCGGAAGGAUCAUUACCACACCAAUCUCGGGGAAACCCGAUUCCGUUACGUGGAACGAACUAUUUCUGGGCGAGUGGCCUUCGUGUCACCAACCCUACUUUCUAUCCUCUUGAGCAAUCAAGUCGAUACACCAACACAUUCUGAUAGUGACGAUUCAUAAGGCCGUGGCUUCAGCAAUGAAACCCUGCCGUAACAUGAAACGUAUACAACACUUUCAGCAACGGAUGUCUUGGCUCCC
rnacentral:misc_RNA from 1 species